rnacentral:rRNA from 1 species
CCUACGGGAGGCUGCAGUGAGGAAUAUUGGUCAAUGGACGAGAGUCUGAACCAGCCAAGUAGCGUGAAGGAUGACUGCCCUAUGGGUUGUAAACUUCUUUUAUAUGGGAAUAAAACGUUCCACGUGUGGGAUUUUGUAUGUACCAUAUGAAUAAGGAUCGGCUAACUCCGUGCCAGCAGCCGCGGUAAUACGGAGGAUCCGAGCGUUAUCCGGAUUUAUUGGGUUUAACGGGAGCGUAGGUGGAUUGUUAAGUCAGUUGUGAAAGUUUGCGGCUCAACCGUAAAAUUGCAGUUGAAACUGGCAGUCUUGAGUACAGUAGAGGUGUGCGGAAUUCGUGGUGUAGCGGUGAAAUGCUUAGAUAUCACGAAGAACUCCGAUUGCGAAGGCAGUUCACUGGACUGCAACUGACACUGAGGCUCGAAAGUGUGGGUAUCAAACAGGAUUAGAUACCCUUGUAGUC